AUUGAACGCUGGCGGCAGGCCUAACACAUGCAAGUCGAGCGAGCGGCGGACGGGUGAGUAAUGUCUGGGAAACUGCCUGAUGGAGGGGGAUAACUACUGGAAACGGUAGCUAAUACCGCAUACCAUCCGAUGUUCCCAGAUGGGAUUAGCUAGGAGGUGGGGUAACGGCUCACCUCGGCGACGCUCCCUAGCUGGUCUGAGAGGAUGACCAGCGACACUGGAACUGAGACACGGUCCAGACUCCGACGGUAGGCAGCAGGGGGGAAUAUUUCACAAUGGGCUCAAGCCUGAUGCAGCCAUGCCGCGUGUGUGAAGAAGUCCUUCGGGUUGUAAAGCACUUUCAGCGGGGAGGCGGUACCCGCAGAAGAAGCACCGGCUAACUCCGUGCCAGCAGCCGCGGUAAUAC
rnacentral:rRNA from 1 species